CACCCGCCCCACAAUAAGAGUGGUGCUGCGUGCUGUUUGUCGUCCACACUGGGCUGUCUCUCCAGGACCUUUGUUUUGGACGUGAAUGAGGACAGCUGCCAGAUCCUGCUGUCUGCUGCACACAGUCGGGUAUCAUUCCAGGACCUUGCUUCAGAAGUUAAGUUCCCCCUCUAUUAAAUCACUGGUGUCUGUGGCUGACUCUGGGCUCUUUCUGAUGGGCAAGCACAGGCCUACAGGGUGCAGCCCAACUGUUGUUGGAGCAGCCAGGAGAUGGAGGAAACCCUCGUGAGUGUGGAUGUGGCGGGAAAUACAGCAUAGGGAGUGGAAAGUUGUGGGGGUCAUCCACUAACACGUGGGGCCCCAAAGUUCCAUAGGUGAAGCCAAAAGUUAGGGGAAAUCCCGGGAUGACUGUCCGCUAGUAUGUGGGGCUCCAGGGUGGCUGUCCUUGCUAACUGGGGGCUGCCAAGAGAUCUGGAGAACAAUGGUCUCUGAUGACUCUGCUAUUGUAGUGAGUCUUGUAAUAGGUUAAGCUAGCUUUCUAGAAGGAACUGGUAUUUCUCUUGUCCCUUUGAGAUAUAAAUAACCUACCUGUGCUCUCUGGAACUUUAACCUCUUGUGAUCUUUUUGGACGUGCCUUGUAUAUCUUCUUUGGCCUUUGAGGAUGUGAAUGUAUUUGAAAGUCAAAAUGGAGUAGCUCUGGUGCAGACAUUGGAAGUAAAACUAGGUGGUCAUUGUGUACAUGAUUUUAGGCACGUUCUUGUAUUAUUGAAAGCUUGUUUUCUGAACUGUUUGCAGACCAGGACAUUAUCUCAGAAUGAGGUUACUGCUUGUAUUUUGCUUAAUUGUCAUGAUCUCCCCUCUGUUGUACC